rnacentral:rRNA from 1 species
AGAGAUGGCUCCCACGUCCAAGGAUGGCAGCAGGCGCGAAAAUUGUCCACUCUUUUGAGAGGAGACAGUUAUGAAACGUGAGUAGAAGGGUCGAGUGUAAAAACCUUGACGUGAAGCAAUUGGAGGGCAAGUUUUGGUGCCAGCAGCCGCGGUAAUUCCAACUCCAAGAGUGUCUAUGGUGGAUGCUGCAGUUAAAGGGUCCGUAGUCGUAGAUGCAAUUAAAAGGUGGUGUUAAAAGCCAUUGAGUUUGUUGAGAGUAGCGGAACGGAUAGGGAGCAUGGUAUAGGUGGGCAAAGAAUGAAAUCUCAAGACCCCACCUGGACCAACGGAGGCGAAAGCGAUGCUCUUAGACGUAUCUGGGGAUCAAGGACGAAGGCUAGAGUAUCGAAAGUGAUUAGACACCGCUGUAGUUCUAGCUAGUAAACUAUGCCGACAAUGCUGGGUGUUGCGAGAGCG